GAGUUUGAUCAUGGCUCAGGAUGAACGCACAAGACGUGCCUAACACAUGCAAAUCGAAUGAAAAGAAUUAAUUAUUGUUUUCAUGGUGAACGGGUGAGUAACACAUAAGAAUCAGCUUUUAGAUAAGGCAUAAAAGAGUAAUAUCUUGGUAAUUCCUUAUAUGCGCAGCAGUGCUUAAAAAGGGGAGUCCCGUCUAAAAACGAGCUUAUGCCUGAUUAGCUAGUUGGCGAGUUAAAAGCUCACCAAGGCGAAGAUCAGUAGCUGGCCUGAGAGGGCGGCCAGCCACAUUGGGACUGAGACACGGCCCAAACUCCUACGGGAGGCAGCAGUGGGGAAUCUUCUGCAAUGGGCGCAAGCCUGACAGAGCGGCGUCGUGUGAAGGAAGAAGGCCUGAAAUAGGUUGUAAACUUCUUUUACUGAGUAAUGAAUAAUGACAACGCAGUAAAAAAGUAUCGGCUAACUCCGUGCCAGCAGCCGCGGUAAUACGGGGGAUGCAAGCGUUAUCCGGAAUCACUGGGCGUAAAGCGUCUGUAGGUGGUUUAGUGUGUUCUUAGUUAAAUUAUGAAGCCUAACUUCAUGAAAAGUAAGAAAACUAUUAGACUUGAGUACGAUAGGGGUAAGAGGAAUUCUUCGAGAAGUAGUGAAAUGCGAAGAUACGAAGGAGAAGAUCAUAAGCGAAGGCUUCUUACUGGGUCGUAACUGACACUGAGAGACGAAAGCUAGGGGAGCGAAUGGGAUUAGAUACCCCAGUAGUCCUAGCUGUAAACGAUGGAUAUUCGGUGCCGGAAAUUUUAUUAGAACAUUUCGGUACCCUUAGCUAACGCGUUAAAUAUCCCGCCUGAGGAGUACGCUCGCAAGGGUGA
rnacentral:rRNA from 1 species